rnacentral:tRNA from 1 species
GUCCCUGUAGCUUACUCCUAAAGCAUGACACUGAAGAUGUCAAGACGGCUGCCAACGCUCCCCCGGGACA